rnacentral:tRNA from 1 species
CCUAUUUGUUUAGUUUAAAAUUUAAAACUUUCAUUUUGAAAAUGAUAAAUAAUU